rnacentral:rRNA from 1 species
GUAGGGAAUAUUGCGCAAUGGGGGAAACCCUGACGCAGCGACGCCGCGUGAGUGAUGAAGGCCUUCGGGUCGUAAAGCUCUGUUGCAGGGGAAUAAAAAAAUGAAGGUACCCUGUGAGGAAGGAUCGGCUAACUUCGUGCCAGCAGCCGCGGUAAGACGAGGGAUCCUAGCGUUGCUCGGAAUCAUUGGGCGUAAAGAGGGCGUAGGUGGCUUGGUAAGUCAGGUGUGAAAGCCCAGGGCUCAACCCUGGAAGUGCAUUUGAUACUGCUGAGCUUGAGUGUCGGAGAGGUUACCGGAAUACCUGGUGUAGUGGUGAAAUACGUAGAUAUCAGGUGGAACACCGGAGGCGUAGGCGGGUAACUGGACGAACACUGACACUGAGGCCCGAAAGCGUGGGGAUCAAACAGGAUUAGAAACCCGUGUAGUCC